rnacentral:rRNA from 1 species
AUUGAACGCUGGCGGAAUGCUUUACACAUGCAAGUCGAACGGUAGAGGGGGCAACCCCUCGAGAGUGGCGAACGGGUGAGUAAUAUAUCGGAACGUGCCCAGGCGUGGGGGAUAACGUAGCGAAAGUUACGCUAAUACCGCAUACGAUCUAAGGAUGAAAGCGGGGGAUCGCAAGACCUCGCGCGAUUGGAGCGGCCGAUAUCAGAUUAGGUAGUUGGUGGGGUAAAGGCCCACCAAGCCAACGAUCUGUAGCUGGUCUGAGAGGACGACCAGCCACACUGGAACUGAGACACGAUCCAGACUCCUACGGGAGGCAGCAGUGGGGAAUUUUGGACAAUGGACGCAAGUCUGAUCCAGCCAUUCCGCGUGCAGGAUGAAGGCCCUCGGGUUGUAAACUGCUUUUGUACGGAACGAAAAGGUCUCUCUCAUUACGGGGGGCUCAUGACGGUACCGUAAGAAUAAGCACCGGCUAACUACGUGCCAGCAGCCGCAGUAA